UACAGAGGGGGCAAGCGUUGUUCGGAAUUACUGGGCGUAAAGGGCGCGUAGGCGGCGUGCUAAGUCGAACGUGAAAUCCCUGGGCUCAACCCAGGAACUGCGUCCGAUACUGGUUGGCUUGAAUCCGGGAGAGGGAUGUGGAAUUCCAGGUGUAGCGGUGAAAUGCGUAGAUAUCUGGAGGAACACCGGUGGCGAAGGCGGCAUCCUGGACCGGCAUUGACGCUGAGGCGCGAAAGCCAGGGGAGCAAACGGG
rnacentral:rRNA from 1 species